UUUAUUGGCCAUGCCACCCUGAAUGUGCUGGACCUCAUCUGAUCUUGGAAGCUAUGAGGGUUAGGCCUGGUUAGUACUUGAAUCAGAGGCCAGUCUUU
ensembl:rRNA Gm25908 predicted gene, 25908